GAUGAAGAACGCAGCAAAAUGCGAUAAGUAAUGUGAAUUGCAGAAUUCAGUGAAUCAUCGAAUCUUUGAACGCACAUUGCGCCCCUUGGUAUUCCAUGGGGCAUGCCUGUUCGAGCGUCAUUUGUACCUUCAAGCUCUGCUUGGUGUUGGGUGUUUGUCUCGCCUCUGCGUGUAGACUCGCCUCAAAAUAAUUGGCAGCCGGCGUAUUGAUUUCGGAGCGCAGUACAUCUCGCGCUUUGCACUCAUAACGACGACGUCCAAAAGUACAUUUUUACACUCUUGACCUCGGAUCAGGUAGGGAUACCCGCUGAACUUAAGCAUAUCAAUAAGCGGAGGA
rnacentral:misc_RNA from 1 species